rnacentral:rRNA from 1 species
UGGGGAAUAUUGGACAAUGGGCGAAAGCCUGAUCCAGCCAUGCCGCGUGUGUGAAGAAGGUCUUCGGAUUGUAAAGCACUUUAAGUUGGGAGGAAGGGCAGUAAGCGAAUACCUUGCUGUUUUGACGUUACCGACAGAAUAAGCACCGGCUAACUCUGUGCCAGCAGCCGCGGUAAUACAGAGGGUGCAAGCGUUAAUCGGAAUUACUGGGCGUAAAGCGCGCGUAGGUGGUUCGUUAAGUUGAAUGUGAAAGCCCCGGGCUCAACCUGGGAACUGCAUCCAAAACUGGCGAGCUAGAGUAGGGCAGAGGGUGGUGGGAUUUCCUGUGUAGCGGUGAAAUGCGUAGAUAUAGGAAGGAACACCAGUUGCGAAGGCGACCACCUGGGCUCAUACUGACACUGAGGUGCGAAAGCGUGGGGAGCAAACAGG